rnacentral:rRNA from 1 species
GAUGAACGCUGGCGGCGUGCUUAACACAUGCAAGUCGAACGGAAAGGCUCCUGCUUGCAGGGGUACUCGAGUGGCGAACGGGUGAGUAACACGUGGGUGAUCUGCCCUGCACUUCGGGAUAAGCCUGGGAAACUGGGUCUAAUACCGGAUAGGACCACAUUUUGGAUGGUGUGGUGGAAAGUUUUUCGGUGUGGGACGAGCUCGCGGCCUAUCAGCUUGUUGGUGGGGUAAUGGCCUACCAAGGCGUCGACGGGUAGCCGGCCUGAGAGGGUGUACGGCCACAUUGGGACUGAGAUACGGCCCAGACUCCUACGGGAGGCAGCAGUGGGGAAUAUUGCACAAUGGGCGCAAGCCUGAUGCAGCGACGCCGCGUGGGGGAUGACGGCCUUCGGGUUGUAAACUCCUUUCGCUAGGGACGAAGCGCAAGUGACGGUACCUGGAGAAGAAGCACCGGCUAACUACGUG